rnacentral:rRNA from 1 species
UGGGGAAUAUUGGACAAUGGGCGAAAGCCUGAUCCAGCCAUGCCGCGUGAGUGAAGCAGGUCUUCGGAUUGUAAAGCACUUUAAGUUGGGAGGAAGGGCAGUUACCUAAUACGUGAUUGUUUUGACGUUACCGACAGAAUAAGCACCGGCUAACUCUGUGCCAGCAGCCGCGGUAAUACAGAGGGUGCAAGCGUUAAUCGGAAUUACUGGGCGUAAAGCGCGCGUAGGUGGUUUUUUAAGUUGGAUGUGAAAUCCCCGGGCUCAACCUGGGAACUGCAUUCAAAACUGACUGACUAGAGUAUUGUAGAGGGUGGUGGAAUUUCCUGUGUAGCGGUGAAAUGCGUAGAUAUAGGAAGGAACACCAGUGGCGAAGGGGACCACCUGGACUAAUACUGACACUCAGGGGCGAAAGCGUGGGGAGCAAACA